GAUGAACGCUGGCGGCGUGCCUAAUACAUGCAAGUAGAACGCUGAAGCUUGGUGCUUGCACCGAGCGGAUGAGUUGCGAACGGGUGAGUAACGCGUAGGUAACCUGCCUCUUAGCGGGGGAUAACUAUUGGAAACGAUAGCUAAUACCGCAUAAAAGUCGAUAUCACAUGAUGUUGAUUUGAAAGGUGCAAUUGCAUCACUAAGAGAUGGACCUGCGUUGUAUUAGCUAGUUGGUGAGGUAACGGCUCACCAAGGCGACGAUACAUAGCCGACCUGAGAGGGUGAUCGGCCACACUGGGACUGAGACACGGCCCAGACUCCUACGGGAGGCAGCAGUAGGGAAUCUUCGGCAAUGGGGGCAACCCUGACCGAGCAACGCCGCGUGAGUGAAGAAGGUUUUCGGAUCGUAAAGCUCUGUUGUAAGAGAAGAACGAGUGUGAGAGUGGAAAGUUCACACUGUGACGGAACUACCAGAAAGGACG
rnacentral:rRNA from 1 species